AUUGAACGCUGGCGGCAUGCCUUACACAUGCAAGUCGAACGGCAGCACGGGGCAACCUGGUGGCGAGUGGCGAACGGGUGAGUAAUGCAUCGGAACGUGCCAUUGAGUGGGGGAUAACGUAGCGAAAGUUGCGCUAAUACCGCAUAUUCUGUGAGCAGGAAAGCAGGGGACCGCAAGGCCUUGCGCUCUUUGAGCGGCCGAUGUCAGAUUAGCUAGUUGGUGAGGUAACGGCUUACCAAGGCGACGAUCUGUAGCGGGUCUGAGAGGAUGAUCCGCCACACUGGAACUGAGACACGGUCCAGACUCCUACGGGAGGCAGCAGUGGGGAAUUUUGGACAAUGGGCGCAAGCCUGAUCCAGCCAUGCCGCGUGAGUGAAGAAGGCCUGGUGUAAGACUCUUCGUCCGGG
rnacentral:rRNA from 1 species